rnacentral:lncRNA from 1 species
CCCAACCAGCCUUUUAACCCAAAUACCGUGUCUUACACCCACCAAGUCUUCAGCUGGAAGCAUCUCGUGUGUCAGAUGGUAGGUGAGAAGCAGAGCAGAGAUAAGGUUGGAGCCUUUCUCGGGUAGACAAAGAUGAUGAUCGAAGCUUUUCCUGAAUAGGCAGAGAAGAUGAUCGAAGCUCUUCUUAGAUGGAUCAGCAGCAAACCAACAGCGUCUUCUCACAAGGUCAAAGAGCCACGUGAAGGCUUUAGAAAGAAGAUCAAAAAGGAGGUUGAAGAGAGGAUAAGAUCGGAGAAGAAGAAGAAAAGUGGAGGAGGAGAGGUAAACGUAGAAAAGCUUUAAACUGUUUUAUUUAUUAUGUGUGUUGUGUAUUUUCAUAUAUUUACAUCAAGGAGAGAACUCUAUUUAUAGAGUUCUCUGGGGAUGGGUAAAACAUAAAAAGAGAAAAAGAAUAUCAAGAAAAUCCUAGGAAAAUCCUAGGAAAAUCCUAGCAGAAUAUGUGUGAUUAUUGUAAAUAAACAGAAUCCACUAAGUAACUAACUCCAGUAAACAUAUACUUCCACUUAGAUGCUACAAAGACCAACACGCUUUGUAUUAACCCAGAACAAACGAAAAACAAAGGAUAAAGUUGAAAAGCAUCACUGUAACUUAAAAAGAUAAAACAAAAUACACCAACUAUUAAUAAUAAUCAAAUUUAAAUAUUGAGCUCAUCACUGCUGACAUUGCUUGUAAACUUCACCACCAUCUUCUCUUCUCCUAAUUAAGCUUCAUGACUCCUUCCCUUUUUUAUAAUGAAAAAUACCUAAGAUAUAAUAAUGAAAGAAUUUUAUAAGAAUAACUAAAUUAAUAGGAAAUGCUUCAUUAUCAUAUAAGUUAGCACCUUAAAAAUUUUAAUUCACCAUAAAACAUCUUAAAUUCAUUUUUCUUAUUUCCAUUAUUCUAAUAUAUUUUCACUUUUCUUACAAAUUGUUUUUCAUCGACCCCAAUUUUGAUAAAUAAAAAUAUGAUUGAACUAAAAUAAAGGAAAUUGAUCUACUCACUCACUCUACUUUAACCACUUAAAAAAAAAAAAAGAACCUUAAAAGUUAAGAUACCGCUAUGAUAUAUGACUUGAGAAAACAAAUAUAUGUUUUCAUUCUAAACUCAAUUCACUUAUAUUAAUAUAUGUUUUAAAAUAAAUUAGAUAUAAAUAUUACUAUAAUUUAAAAAUAUAUAAAUAAUAAUCAAUAAUUAAAAAAUAAAUGAAGAACUAAAUUAUAUUUUAAUAACGGUGAAGAACAAACUAUUAUUAAAGAUAAAUUCAAAUAAAAUUCGUAUAAAAGAAAUUAUACCAACCAGUAUUGUUAUGCAACUUGUUCGAUCUUAACGAAAGGAUUCAUGUUGACGACCACCAUGCAUGAUGAAGUCGAUAUCUCAAGUCAAAGAAACUUGAAAAAAACAUGCCUAAACUUUUUGUUUAAGAAAAUAGCACAGCAAACUCCCACAAAGCCUGUCACAAAUCCGGAUUCCAUUCUGAUGUAAAACCAUUCAAAAACUUUAGAUUGAUUUCCGUCUUCGUCUACAAGCUUUGUGUGUUCAUGUUUAUCAUCCUGAAAGCAGAUUUUCGUAAGUGGGGGUCCACAAAGAUCAUCAUUGCCCAUGUAUCUAAGUGUACUGAAUCCCUGAAGUUGUGUGCCUGAUGGUAUUUUACCUGUUAAAUCAUUGAAUGAUAGGUUCAAGUAACCCAAAAAGUACAAUCAUCUGGAUAAACUUUGAGGAAUUUCUCUCCCAAGUUGGUUUAUAGAAAAAUCGAGGGACUCCAAGUUUUUCAUAUUUCCUAUCUCAUUUGGUAUUUCUCCUGCUAAUUUGUUGUUGGAUAAAUUCAAGGAAUGCAAUCCAAUGAGACUAAACAGUUGUGGAGGUAUUGUUCCGGACAAAUUGUUGCUUGACAUAUCAAUUAAGGUCAUAAAAUGUAGGUUUUUUCCAUAUUGUAAUACCUGACCUUUAGUAACCAAUUCUAGACUGUCGUGAGUGAUAAUGUAACUAUUAGGAAUUAAUAAAGGAAAUUGAAAAGAAAAUUUGUUGGUUGAAACACUAUUGAAAAGUAGGGUUUUGAUAUUACCAAGACAAGUGGGUAUAUGACCGGAGAUUGUGUUUUGUGAAAUAUCCAACAAAAUGAGGGAAGACAUUUCACAUAUUUGUGGUGAGAUUUUACCACUAAAAUGAUUAUACUUUAAUUGGAGAGCCAAUACACCAUGAGAUAUCCAAUCUGGUAUGUUUCCUGAUAAUUGGUUAUUGCGAACAUUGAAAACCAAGAGAGAGUGACAAUUUUGCAAUGAGAGAGGAACUUGUCCAUGUAGUUUAUUCUCAUGCAAAUGGAGUGAGGUGAGAUUAGAUAAGAAGCCUAGUGAUGGAGGUAUCUUUCCUGAUAGAUUAUUAUAUCCCAAGUGAAUAGCAACCAAAGAUUUCCAAUUCUUCCAACAAUUCGUAAGCACUCCAGAUACAUUAUUCAAUGAUAUGUCCAAAUACAACAAAUUGUUUUUCCCAUUCGACACAUUAUGACCACAUAAGAGGGGAGACAAUUCUCCUGAUAAUAAAUUAUUUGAUAAUGAGACAAUAACCACGUUUGGUGAUAAUUGAGGCAAGCAACCUUUCAAACCAUUUGAUGAUAGAUCAAUGAUUGUAGAGUUCAACAACACAUUUGACAUGUCUCCGUCUAAAUUGUCUUCUAAGUCGAGUUCAAUCACUGAUGAUACAAAUUGCCAAAAUUUGUCUGGAGCCUCAAAUGCCGAAUCAUAUAUAGUUAAUCUUUCAAGUGAUCGUUGUGUAUAAAACCACGCAGGAAGGUUGGGAUUUGAAAACCCGAUUGCUAAUUCCUCAAGUUGAAAUGGUGGAAUCCAAUCUGAGUCAAAAUCAAAGAUUAACCCGACAUAAGAGUAUAUGUUCAGGAACUUUAAUUUUGACAAUUUGACAAAAUUUCUUUCAGAUACAACUCCAGUCAAUGGAUUUGAGCCAACAACCAAGUUAAUCAAGGUUGAUAGGUUUCCCAAAUUUGUGGGAGUAGAUCCUGAAAAGUUGUUUACUCCAAGAAUAAGAGUUUCUAAUUGUUUGAAAUGACCUAACCAAUCUGGAAUGGGUCCAUCAAAGUUAUCGUCUUCCAUGUUCAGGAAUUCCAGUUCUCGAAGAUUUAACAAAUCCUUAGGUAGAUGCCCUACUAAAGAACUUGAGCUAAAGUCUAAAGUAUAGAUAGUGAAACUAAGAUUGAAUAGCCAAUUAGGUAACUCUGAAUUGAAUGCAUUUCCAGAAAGGUCAAGAACCUGGAGGGCAGUAAAAUUAGCAUACCGGAGAGACAAACUUAAGUCUUUAAGCUGACAACCACGCAUAGCAAGGAGUGAAAGUGAUGAAACCUCAGUCACUAAUUGAAGCCAAUUAGUUUCCUCGCUAAGAUCAACACUGCAGAGAUUAAGAUAUUCCAAGGUGAAAAUGUAGGGAAGCCAUUUAAGAUUAUUGAUGGCAAGAUUCCAGUUAAGUGAUAAAUCAAGAUGACGAAGAGUUGAAGAGUUGACACACUGACUAUGAGAUGAAGUAGGUAUAGAUAGAUUAUGACAAUUAUGAUUAUUCAGAUAAUCAAAUUCUAAUGCUAAGAAGUCAUUGUUUCUCAAAUUCAAGUAUUCUAAAAAUUCCAACUCCACUAACAACAAGGAGAGGUUAAUGGAACAUGUAAGACAAUGUGAUUUAUCUUCUUUGUCCAUGUAAAUUGGAGGAAUUCUAGAACAUGGGAGAGAGAUUCCAGUGACUCUACUAGUGAUGUUGCUACAGAUGACUCUUCCCAAUGACAACAAUUAGGGUUGGGUAAAAAUAAUUGAUUUGUAUUAUACUGCAGUGAACUAUACUAUAUUGUACUAUCUUAUGGUUUAGUUUUUAAAAACUGAACUGAUAACAGUUACAGUUCAGUUAACUGUGAGAACUGUAUCUACUCUUACAUCUUCUCUAAUUUUAGUAACAGUUUCAUCUUGUCAAGAAAAGUUUAUUUAAUAAUAAAAUAUUAAUAAAUGUUCACAUAAAAAAAUAAUAAUUAAUUUUUUAAAACAACAUUUUUAUCACAAAAUUUAUAUUUUUAUCAAUAAAAAUAAAAAAAUGUAAUUUAUAUUUUUAUAUUUUUUAAGUUAUAUAUAUAAAUAAAUAAAUAAAUAAAAUAUAUAUAUAUAUAUAUAUAUNNNNNNNNNNNNNNNNNNNNNNNNNNNNNNNNNNNNNNNNNNNNNNNNNNNNNNNNNNNNNNNNNNNNNNNNNNNNNNNNNNNNNNNNNNNNNNNNNNNNNNNNNNNNNNNNNNNNNNNNNNNNNNNNNNNNNNNNNNNNNNNNNNNNNNNNNNNNNNNNNNNNNNNNNNNNNNNNNNNNNNNNNNNNNNNNNNNNNNNNNNNNNNNNNNNNNNNNNNNNNNNNNNNNNNNNNNNNNNNNNNNNNNNNNNNNNNNNNNNNNNNNNNNNNNUAUAUAUAUAUAUAUAUAUAUAUAUUUAUUAAUAAAAUAAUUUUUAAUAAUAAAAGAAAUAUAAAUAAAAUAGAAAAUAAUAAUAUUAAAUAAUUAAAAAUCAAUUUUUAGAUAAUUAUGAAUAAAAUAAAAUAAAUAUUAAAAUAAAUUUCAAUUAAAAAGAACAUGUAUUGUUAUACUAUUUAGUUUAAAAAUUAGCACAAUUCAGUAUAGUUACUAGUUCAGUUUCAGUUUAUAUUGUAGUUUAGUUAAAAUUAGUGUAGUUUACAAUUUAGUUAAUAGUUCAGUUAGUGUAAUUUACAAUUCAGUUAAUAGUUUAGUUCAGUUAGCACAGUUUACAGUUCAGUUAAUAGCUCACUUACUGUAGUUUACAAUUCAAUUAAUAGUUUAGUUCAGUUCGUACUGUAAUUUAGUACAAUUCAGUAUAGUUCAAUUCAGUUUGAUAAAACAAAAAACAGUUCAGUUUGUCUGAACUGUUUUAGAGUUCAGCAGUACAGUUCAGUUCGAUUUGCCCACCCCUAACAACAAUCUAGUUUAGUGGACCAUGAAGAAAGGACACUUGAUGGAUCUACCACCCCUUGCUUGAAGUUGAAGAGAGCAUGCAAGUCUUGUUGGUUGCAACGCAUAUUGAAGCUGCAAAAGGCAGCGUUGAACAUGAUUCCGCAGAGCACCCAUACAAAAAUGAUUGGAUUUUGAGAGAGAAGUUUACUCAUGAUUUUCAAAAGAAACGAAGAGGACGAUGGAUGACUUGAAUAUAAUGGAGAGAAACUCUAUUUAUAGUAAUUGAAGUCUAUACAAAAGUUUCACAUCCCGUAAUAUUAGGUUAAGAUAUGAAAUUUUGUGUUAAACAAUAAGGUAAAGUUUAUUAGCAUUGCAACGACUUGACUAGAGAAACCGAUUGUAACAUAUUACUUGACAAAAUGUGUCCUCACGAAAUCGAAUUUGGAAAGACGUUGUGAA